rnacentral:rRNA from 1 species
AGGGGGUGCUAUCUGCAGUCGAGCGAUGGAUUAGAGCUUGUUCUUAUGAAGUUAGCGGCGGACGGGGGAGUAACACGUGGGUAACCUGCCCAUAAAACUGGAAUAACUCCGGGAAACCGGGGCUAAUACCGGAUAACAUUUUGAACCGCAGGGUUCGAAAUUGAAAGGCGGUUUCGGUUGUCACUUAUGGAUGGACCCGCGUCGCAUUAGCUAGUUGGGGAGGUAACGGCUCACCAAGGCAACGAUGCGUACCCCACCUGAGAGGGUGAUCGGCCCCACUGGGACUGAAACCCGGCCCAAACUCCUACGGGAGGCAGCAGUAGGGAAUCUUCCGCAAGGGACAAAAGUCUGACGGAGCACCGCCGGGGGAGUGAUGAAGGUUUUCGGGUCGAAAAAUUCUGUUGUUAGGGAAAAACAGGUGCUAGUUGAAUAAGCUGGCACCUUGACGGUACCUAACCAAAAAGCCACGGUUAACUACGUGCCAGCAGCCGCGGUAAUACGUAGGUGGCAGGCGUUAUCCGGAAUUAUUGGGGGUAAGGGGGGCGCAGGUGGUUUCUUAAGUCUGAGGUGAAACCCCCCGGUUCACCCGGGGAGGGUCAUUGAAAACUGGAAAACUUGAGUGCAGAAGAGGAAAGUGAAAUUCCAUGUGUAGCGGAAAAAUGCGAAAAGUUAUGGAGGACCACCAGUGGCGAAGGCGAUUUUCUGGUCUGUAACUGACACUGAGGCGCGAAAGCGGGGGGAGCAAACAGGAUAAAAUCCCCUGGUAGUCCACGCCGUAAACGAUGAGUGCUAAGUGUUAGAGGGUUUCCCCCCCCCUUUGGUGCUGAAGUUACCGCAUUAAGCCCCUCCCCCCUGGGGAAGUACCGGCCCGCCAAGGGUUGAAUACUUCAAAGGAAUUUGCCGGGGCCCCCCGCAACAAGGCGGGUGGGACGAUGGUUGUUUUUUAUUUCCGAAGGCAGCCGCGAAAGAACCUUUACCCAGGUCUUGGACCAUCCUUCCUGACCAACCCUAGAAGAUAGGGGCUUUCCUCCCUUUCGGGGAGCCAGGAGUGCACAGGGUGGUGGCAAUGGUUUGCUCAAUCAGUCUCGUGUCGAGGAAGAAAUGGUGUG